UCAAGUAGAUGUCCCACUUGGAAAUUGCUCCAUAUACCCAGUUGGCGACACCCCUUUAGCGCUCUGCGCGCCACCACAGUCAAAUUACAGGUACUAAAUUGCUAAACAAAAUCGUAGCACUCUUGAACUUUUCAACCAAAAGUUUCAUGGCAUCAACAAGUGUCACUUAUUUUGUUUUGCUUGUUGGUUCGUUAAACUGUUUCCAUGAUAACCACGGUGGUGGUGGCUGUUGUUUGUGAGAUUUCGAGAAGCGAAAAUUUCGACACUGCCGAGAACCGAUGGUCCACAAAUGCUUGAAAACAAACGCAGUACCGUCAGCAAAUGUAGAACCAUAGCCGGUGAGCAGCAACUGGUUGCGCCGAUCGAUGGGAUUCGGAUCGUUUAAAUCUUGCUAUUCGAUAUGAACGACCGGAAGUUAACAGCGAAAAUGGCGAUUGCAUGGUUGAAGAGGCCACUUCAGCGGUUACCACCUCCUCUGCCUGUAACAGACCAGCCCCGUUCCCCCGUUCAAGAUAUGUACCGUGAAAAAAACAAGAUUUAUAAAAAAUAAGAUGUUUUAUUCCCAAGAGUUUUAUAUUGCAAAAUAAAAAUUAAAACUUAUUGCGCAGCAGUGCAGGAA